GGUGGUUCUCAGGUGACGCACCCUGGAACCAGAGAGGAGGGAGCCCAAUUCCAGGGUGUGUCACCCAAGAACCGCC
rfam:Myotis lucifugus cont2.13481, whole genome shotgun sequence.